UGCAGGUUGUAGUGUGUGUAGUUACGGCUGCAUUAGUUACGUACGCUAGUUACGUAAGAAAUCCCCGAGAUUGCCUCGUGUUUCUUUUCAUUAUGGCGGUUGCCUGUACAGAAGUCAGAGACAAUGUAAGUUUGUACUCUUUAUAUUUAGCUAUUGUUGCAGCAGAUUAAACUAUUCCUGAGUUGUUUCAGUCUGCAAUGAGUACUGAAUGUCAGCCUUUUUAC